rnacentral:rRNA from 1 species
GGCCGCGAAUUCGCCCUUAGGGUUUGAUCAUGGCUCAGAGUGAACGCUGGCGGUAGGCCUAACACAUGCAAGUCGAACGGCAGCACAGGAGAGCCUGCUCUCUGGGUGGCGAGUGGCGGACGGGUGAGGAAUACAUCGGAAUCUACUCUGUCGUGGGGGAUAACGUAGGGAAACUUACGCUAAUACCGCAUACGACCUACGGGUGAAAGCAGGGGACCUUCGGGCCUUGCGCGAUUGAAUGAGCCGAUGUCGGAUUAGCUAGUUGGCGGGGUAAAGGCCCACCAAGGCGACGAUCCGUAGCUGGUCUGAGAGGAUGAUCAGCCACACUGGAACUGAGACACGGUCCAGACUCCUACGGGAGGCAGCAGUGGGGAAUAUUGGACAGUGGGCGCAAGCCUGAUCCAGCCAUACCGCGUGGGUGAAGAAGGCCUUCGGGUUGUAAAGCCCUUUUGUUGGGAAAGAAAUCCAGCUGGCUAAUACCCGGUUGGGAUGACGGUACCCAAAGAAUAAGCACCGGCUAACUUCGUGCCAGCAGCCGCGGUAAUACGAAGGGUGCAAGCGUUACUCGGAAUUACUGGGCGUAAAGCGUGCGUAGGUGGUCGUUUAAGUGCGUUGUGAAAGCCCUGGGCUCAACCUGGGAACUGCGGUG